GUUUUUCUUUACUAGCAAUUAUGGAAACGUAGAGUGGCUCCUUUCUCUACUAAUAGCCUCAUAAUGGAGCCAUCUAAAUCUCUUACUGAUUCCUCUAUCCUUCAGGGAGCCACACCUUUCCCCAGCCCUCCUAGAUCCUGGGGGAAUCAGAGGACCUUUUCUAAGCACUAUGUGAGGAAACAAGAAAACCUAGGGCCACAACAACUGGAUUCUCUUUUCUGAUUUUUGCUGCAGCUUCUGCUUUGUAAUCAUACGGACAGUUGUGCUUGUCAGAGUAACAGUGAAGUCCACAAAACAAAUUUCCACAUCGGCAGUCAAACCCUGUAAGACCAACUUUCUUUCUGCACAUGAAACAUCUGUUUUUCUUUGGUUUGGGCAAUUCAGGAGCUUUUUCUUCACUCUGAGAAGUACUGGGCUGAGAAACUGAUGGACUGGGCUGAGUGACAACUGGCUCUGACAUCUCUGUUUUUGGGGUAUUUUGUCCUCUGUUGAAAUGCUCAUUUCUGUCAUUUGCUGAGUUACAGGCAAGGCAGCCACAGUCACAUUUCUUGAUUUUUCAGAUGUGCUGC
rnacentral:antisense_RNA from 1 species